CAAAUGGUAAAAGGGCUAAAAAGGUCAUUCAACUUAGAUCAGUCAAUAUUUGCGACACCGAUGCACUGUAUAACGGCAUGAAUUUCUCUACAAAUUAGAUACAAAAUGGCUCUCAAAUAGGGGCUUAGGGUGUGUUCAGGAGUGAUUUUUCACCCCAAAAAAAUGAUUUUUUACGGAAUCAAAUGGUAAAAGGGCUAAAAAGGUCAUUCAACUUAUUUCAGUCAAUAUUUGCGACACCGAUGCACCGUAUAACGGCAUGAAUUUCUCUACAAAUUAGAUACAAAAUGGCUCUCAAAUA
rnacentral:lncRNA from 1 species